UACAGAGGUCCCAAGCGUUGUUCGGAUUCACUGGGCGUAAAGGGUGCGUAGGUGGUGAGGUAAGUCGGAUGUGAAAGCUCGGAGCUCAACUCCGAAAUGGCAUUGGAAACUACCUUGCUCGAGGGUUGGAGGGGGACUGGAAUGCUUGGUGUAGCAGUGAAAUGCGUAGAUAUCAAGCGGAACACCAGUGGCGAAGGCGAGUCCCUGGACAACUCCUGACACUGAGGCACGAAAGCUAGGGGAGCAAACAGG
rnacentral:rRNA from 1 species